rnacentral:rRNA from 1 species
CUUCCGUAGGUGAACCUGCGGAAGGAUCAUUAAAGAUUGGCCGAAAGGCCUUAUCAUUAUAUCCCUCACCUCUGUGAACUGUGGACCCUCGGGUCUAUUUUACAAACAUCGGUGUAAUGAACGUAUAUAACAUUAACAAAACAAAACUUUCAACAACGGAUCUCUUGGCUCUCGCAUCGAUGAAGAACGCAGCGAAAUGCGAUAAGUAAUGUGAAUUGCAGAAUUCAGUGAAUCAUCGAAUCUUUGAACGCACCUUGCGCCUUUUGGUAUUCCGAAAGGCAUGCCUGUUUGAGUGUCAUGAAAUCUCAAUCCCCUCGGGUUUAUGAUCUGGGUCGGGACUUGGACUUGGGCGUCUGCCGGUUACACGGCUCGCCUCAAAUGACUAAGUGGAUCUCUCUGCAUCCGUGACAGACGUAAUAAGUUUCGUCUUGUCCCUUGCUAAUGAGUCUGCUCAUAACCUGCCAUCGCGCACUUUUAGACUCUGACCUCAAAUCAGGUAGGACUACCCGCUGAACUUAAGCAUAUCAAUAAGGCGGGAGGAA